UCCUACGGGGGGCAGCAGUAAGGAAUAUUGCGCAAUGGACGAAAGUCUGACGCAGCGACGCCGCGUGGGGGAUGAAGGUCUUCGGAUUGUAAACCCCUUUCGGGAGGGAAGAUGGAGUGGGUAACCACUUGGACGGUACCUCCAGAAGCAGCCACGGCUAACUUCGUGCCAGCAGCCGCGGUAAUACGAAGGUGGCAAGCGUUGUUCGGAUUCACUGGGCGUACAGGGAGCGUAGGCGGUUGGGUAAGCCCUCCGUGAAAUCUCCGGGCCUAACCCGGAAAGUGCAGAGGGGACUGCUCAGCUAGAGGAUGGGAGAGGAGCGCGGAAUUCCCGGUGUAGCGGUGAAAUGCGUAGAGAUCGGGAGGAAGGCCGGUGGCGAAGGCGGCGCUCUGGAACAUUUCUGACGCUGAGGCUCGAAAGCGUGGGGAGCAAACAGGAUUAGAUACCCUGGUAGC
rnacentral:rRNA from 1 species